ACCAGUUUGGCUCAGUGGAUAGAGCGUCAGCCGGCGGACUCAAGGGUCCCAGGUUCGAUUCCAGUCAAGGGUA